rnacentral:rRNA from 1 species
AUACGGAGGAUCCGAGCGUUAUCCGGAUUUAUUGGGUUUAAAGGGAGCGUAGGUGGACAGUUAUGUCAGUUGUGAAAGUUUGCGGCUCAACCGUAAAAUUGCAGUUGAUACUGGCUGUCUUGAGUACAGUAGAGGUGGGCGGAAUUCGUGGUGUAGCGGUGAAAUGCUUAGAUAUCACGAAGAACUCCGAUUGCGAAGGCAGCUCACUGGACUGCAACUGACACUGAUGCUCGAAAGUGUGGGUAUCAAACAGGAUUAGAUACCCUGGUAGUCCACACAGUAAACGAUGAAUACUCGCUGUUUGCGAUAUACAGUAAGCGGCCAAGCGAAAGCAUUAAGUAUUCCACCUGGGGAGUACGCCGGCAACGGUGAAACUCAAAGGAAUUGACGGGG